GCCCCCAGCUCUGCACCAGGCAAAGCUGGGCAUAUGGGCCUGCCCCUGCCGGUGAGGCGGCCGCAAUGGUGCAUGGGAAUGGGAUGCUCUGUGACCCAGGUGGUGUGGGCUGAGUCCCGGGAGCCAAAAGGCAGAGGCAGGAUCAGCCAUGGGAUUCCAGCCUUGCUGCAGGAAGAAGAGACAGAGUGCAGGGCAUGAGCCUGGAGGCUGGGAGGCCCAGGAGGAGGCUGGCACAACGGAGAGGGGACAGACAAUGCAGUCCAAGGCAUCUCCAGGCUGCUUCUCCACACCUGCCCAGUCUUUUCCGUUUCUGCUGAGAGGGGGAAGUGGUGUCCUAUGUGGAAUGGGCAUGGAUCUGAUCAUUUGUGAGACUCAACACCUGUCGGGAUGUCUGGUGGCUGUGGAUUCACAUUGCUAUUGGGGAUGACCUCUUGUGUAUCCUUCUGCCUGUUUCCUUCCACAGCUUGUUAUGUGAAUCUCCUAAUUUGAAAUCAUUUGCAACUCAUUCACACUUUGUAAAGUCUCACGCCGCCCACACACACUUGCCUGCUGUCUGGACAGAACAGUCAGUGUUCACCAAAUGAGAUGCUAACCAGCUAGUUGUUCCAACAUCACUGGAUUGGGUAACCCUCCACCUUUGCAUUGAUUCAGGACACCUCCUUUAUCACCCAUUAUCUCGUAAAUAAUAGGGUCUGUUGCGGGUUUACUGAGUCUGUACCAUUGAUCUGUUUAUUCUUACAGCGGAACCACAGGGUUUGAACGAUUUUGAUAAUAGAAUCUUGUUUGAUAUCGGAAAGCAUUUCUCUCACACACACACGCACACACACACACCCCUCACUUUAUUUUUCCUAAUUUUUGACUUCUUCUGCUGAUCUUAUUAGUUUUUCCAGAUAAAGUUUGGAAUCAUU